UCUGGCAUGGUCCAACUCACACUUCCUUCAUUCCUCAUCUCCUCCCCACCUUUAUUUGUAGCACUGGGCAUUCUCCUGUACAGUUCCUGGGAAGAUCCUGGGCUCCAGCAGUGGUGGUAGAAGGAGAAAUACUCUUGGUUCGGGUGCUUGAAAUUGCAGGAAAUUCUCCACUUGAUCUAGGCUAGAACAUUCAUUGAAGGUAGAAGUUCUGUGGUCAUCCUUGGUGUGCCAGAACUCCCAACAUCUACAGGAGUGCAGUUUGAUUCAGUGGUUCCCCUGUUGUGACCAACUUUUCUCAGAGGCACCUCAGGAUCCUUCUCGUGAUUCCCAACAGUAUUUCAGAAACACUGCUUCUCGCAGGAAAACAGGGGUUUCAGAUUGGUUGCUCCAAGAACCAGCUGUAUGUUUACUCUGGUCUACCUCAGACUCCAGAGACCUUACUUUUACUGGAGGUGAACCAAGAUUUGAAAUUUGUUGUGUACUGUCCUUGGAAGUAAAAUUGCUUUCUAGUGUCUUUGACAACCCAGCUUCCAAAAAAGGGGAUUAAAAAUAUUGUAUGUCACUGUAAAUCAGAAGUCAGUUAUCAAUCUAAAAAUUUGAAAAUGAGCUGAAUAAUUUGUUUCACCUUAUCUUCUACUGGUAGUAAAAUAAAAAGAAUUAAUAAUAACUAAUUGGGUUUUGAAGAAUGAGCUAUUUGUAUGCCUUCCCUUCCAUCCUCAUAGAAAGCUGACACCAGCCAAGUGUAGCACUUGAGUUCACACCAUGUCAUGCAUUGGACAUUUGGCUGUAUCUAUUCAAUUCCUAAAGUUUAACUGUCUGUAUCAUGAAAAUCUCACACAGUAUACAAGCAGUCUUAUUUCAGACAAUUGAACUGUCUUCACAAAGAAGGCUACUCAAAUCUGCAGAGCCAUGGUGUCAAUAGAUAAGUCACGGAGCGCGUGAGCAUGGACAGCCAGGAAGCUGCUGUGCUCUCCAGAGCACUGUCGAGGCUGCAGUUCCUGUGCUUGCUUGUGCUUCUGCCUCUAUUUUUUGCUUUCUGUUGACAGAGAACUUCUUUCACCAGAGGUCUCCACUACACAAACUUUGCAGAUCUUGCCUGACCACUUUAAAAGGGAGGAUUGGUGCAUCCCUGUUUCUGCAGGCCAGUUCACAGAGUCGUGAUUUCAGCAGGAAUAGAUGUAUUUGAACUAGUACUGAGCAAACCAGCUUGGGCAGCAGCAGCAGCACACUGUGGCACUGGGAGUUCAGGAUAAAUCGGAUAGAUCUGCCUAGAAAUGAUGAGCACAUGCAGAGGCAGCUGGACCAUACUGCUGAGCAUCCUUCUAGUGAUACCCAGGAUAACCCCACCAGAGAUGUCCCUUCCCUUGCUGCAAUGACACCUCCGACUACAGCAUAGGAGUUUUUUGCUGAUGGAUACAUCAGUGUGCUGAGGCUGUUUUGUGCUGCUCUGGGGACAUGAAGCAAAAGUAAAUAAACAUUUACCAGUCAACUAAAAUGGGUGGUAAUAGCCACUAAUUAUGUAAGUCAAAAUAAGUGGUGUUUGAAUGACUGACCUUCAAUUUCUAUAACUCAGAGAGCAUCCAUUUGCUACAGCAUUCAGACAUCCGUUGCUGUCACAUGGCUUAACUUGCUUUAUUAUACAGAAAUUCCUCUUUUUGUCUGCCAAAGGUUGGAGUCAAGAAUUUCACAACAAAGUUUAUUAUCCUAUACUGUGAAUUUUAACCCUAUGAUGGAAGCCUGAUGAGUGUGUACUUCUGAGGAGUUUAUGAUUACAGAUUUUCCCAGAUGUCUGGUGUCUGAGAGAAGAUACAUUAUUAAAAAAGAACAAAUAUUACCACCAGAGUAACAUAAAAUACUUCAUUGAAAUAAAAGCAUCUAAAAGCUGUUUCAUGGAACUUGUGGAAAUAAUUUAUUUAAGGAAAUGUGACUGUUGGCAACUGAAAGUGUGCAGCUAUUUUGCAGAAUUUCCUGCUGAGUAACAAUUUAUAUCAACAAACUAAUUAUAUUUCAGAGUUGUUAACAACUUAGCUAUUAAUUUAUGUGUUCAUUUAAGAACUACUAAAUAGAAAGGUGUGUCUGAACAAAUACUAAUCUCACUUUCGGGCGUAAAUUGUCACUCAAUCAUAUUUAUUGUAAAUAUAUCAUGAAAACUCCCACAUUGUUUAUGGAAUUUAAACCCAGAUACUCAAUUGAUGAUACCAAAGACAUUAACAGACAGGAGUGGUUUUGCAUCUGUGUCACCGACAUCAGUAUAGAAAAUCUAGACACUAUUGAUACCUCUUCAUUAUCAUAUUAACUGCUCUCAGAUCUGUUCUGCAUGUCAUUAAUUUUGAGCCAUAUUGACCAGAGAGUGAAAGGCAUAAAGGAAAUAACAAAAUUAGUCCACACCUGAGUUCCAUACAACUUUGUUUAGUGGAGCAUUUCUUUUUGAGCUGACUGCUGUUGACUAAACGCCUCCACUGAUCCUGAAUGAAGUAAUCAGAAGUUACUAGCUAGAUUCACAUUUCUUGGAAACUGAGAGGAAAAUUGUUUUUAAGAUGAAAGCAUAGGCUGAGAUUUGGGUAUCUGGCUUCAGCUCUCAGAUGUCUUCUAGACUCUCCAGAGGCUUUAUCAAACCAGGUCAUGUAUCCACACUUUACUGUCCUGCACUAUUUCUGCUUUGGUUUUGGCUUGGGUUUUCAGACCAUGUUUUGCAGACUCAUGAACAUUCACAGGUGGCUACUUGUUAAGGUGUGGGAAAUGACGGCUAAAGGAAAGCAAGCUUACUCUUGGCAGAGUGCUGUUAGUAAAAGUGGGGAUAUUUUUAAAGGGACACAAGUAGUGAAAACUUAAAAGUCUACACCUUUAACUGCCAGUUCUACCAGGGGAGCUGUCUUUGAGUAGGUGGAGGUACAGCUCUUUGCAGAGUGGAGCCUUUGAGCAGGAGUGCAAUGCCAUUGGUAUAGGCGUAACACUGACAUGGGCUGUUUCAUCCCAUGCGACCUCUAGUAGAGUUCCCCCAUGGUGACAUCCCUUGUCAUGCUCUAUUUCUGUCCAUGCAUUAUGGACAGUUACUCAAGGAGUAGCAUGGUUUGUUUUCUAGCUUUCCUAGUUUCAGGUUUUCAUAGUAAACACAGUCAAUCUUCUGUCAAGGCCAGGAGCCCAGUGAAGACCAUAAAAUAUAAAUGAUAGAGGGAUGUCAAAAAUCUGCAGUUUUAACUGCUUUGCUGAUUUCUGUGGGUCACACACACUUGCACACCUCAAGAGCAUAAGCAUCUUAAAGGUGGGAGAACACAUCUUCAGGGGAAAAAAGGAUAUGUCUUGGUUUAGCUCUGUGAAUACAAAUUUCAUCGUCAUGCACAUAAACAGUAGAAAAUACUUUAUGUUGAGAGCUAGUUUAACAACUGGAAGAAUGCUCCUUCAAAGACUGAGCCAUUAAAAGGAGAUACAUGACCUGAAAACUUAUACAAUUUAGAGAAAAUAUCUUUCCAUCUAAUGAACAGCUGGUUGAAUGCAGAGAAACAUAGUCAUUUUUCCUGGAGAUGGAUUUAUAACUGCUAAUAUUUUCAUGCUACUCAUAUCUUCAAGCAAAUGUGAUAUGUUUUAUGAUGUACCAUGGUUUUAUAUACAUAUUUCAUUCUUGUUAUUCCUUGAAAAUAAGAAUAAAAAAGAAAAAAAAAACAGCAAAUAUGGAGAAAAAAAUGUGGAGUGCUGUAAUAAUGGAUUUACCUGAAAUCCUAGUAAUAUAGUGUCAGAAGCUUUACCCAAAACCAAAACAAAACAAAAUAAAACAAACAAAAAACCACAUUUAAGUGUAAAUAUCUACUCAACAAGACACUGACUGAAUGUCAUAAACUGUCUGAAAGUAGAACACUUAAUCUGCAUCCAGUCUUUCACUGGCAUAUUUACAUCUUUUGGACGAAUAAAAAGCAUUCAAAUACCAUAAAAAAUGAAAAUAUAAUGUCCUCAGAAUGUAAAAUAAAACCCUGGUGUAAGAUAAAAUAUAUUCCAAUGACUGCAAUUAAUUGCAAUGUAGAAUAAAUCACUAUACAAAUAAUACAUGUGCUUUAAAUAUCAUUUAAAAAGCCAUUAACAAGCCAACAGAAACUGGCAGCUCAACAAUUUUAUGACACUAAACAGGACUGGAACAGUGUGAUUCUGACUUCAUUUAAAACAAUGACAAACCUUCCAUUGACUUUAGUUGGGGAGAACUGAAGUGUCAAUAAUGUUUCAUUUAAAAAAAAAUCUAUUUUUCUUCUGCAAUGCAAAGGAAGUGAAACCUCAGAGAUCUGGAUAUACCAACAUUCUGGCUGAUUUAAAUCCAUUUUAUGUACUUACAGAAAUUAGCAGAAUAAUUUGUUAUAUUUAGGCUUGCAGUGUCAAAUAACUCUUGCAUUGCAAAGUCUCCUUAUGUUCAUUUCAAGCUUCAUACUUAUUUUUUUCCUCUGAUCAAGAAAGAGUGUUAAAAACCCUUAGGGUCUUAUCAGAUGCUUGAGCCUCUAAAGCUAACAAACAAGAGACAUAACUCAGGGGAAGCCACUUUGUAUUGUUAAUUUUUCAGGUCUGGUCUCUACAAAGAGCAAAAGGUAAUCUCAAGAUGAGGGCAGUUGAUAUUUCUCAUGUUUGUAUAACUUUUGCAGUAGCGUAAUGAUUUUGAAAAUAUUGGGCCCAACAGAAGUGUGAUUUAUGCUGAGAGCAACAUCCAAAUGAAGGAAGAGAAGAGAGUAGCCAGUGUCUAAUCUAUGGGUGUUUGGCAGGUGGACAGUGGGGCAUUCUGCUCUGCACUUUAGUGGCAGGGUCAGAAAGCCCCUGUGAGGGAAGACCCAUCAGCUCCAUUCCCUCUGGAGGACAGAGCCCCAGAGAAGUUGAAAAAGCGGAUAGGAGAGUGUUUGUGUCUUGAGCAAAAGGCAAGGAGAGGUUGGAGAUCUCUGCAAGACAAGAAGUGCCUCCUCUUGCCCGAGACCCUCUGCCCCUUCACUGUGCACUGGCACUCCAGAAUGAAGGCAGAGACAUCCCACCUUACUGUGCUGUCUCCAGAAACAGAGGCUGGCACACCACAGGUUCACAGGGUUCGUCUGGGGAAACAUUCCCCUCUGUCAUGCCACACUUUGCAGCGAGGUACUCACCGAGAUGAAGAAGCCACAGGCUGCUUUUCCUUUCCCUCUUCUGCUCAUCACCCCCUGCAAACACACUGUCACUGACUCCCUUCCAGGUCUUGCACUGUCACUCAGGUUCCCGCUUG